UCCUGGUCAUUUAAGAGAGAAAAGUCGUCCAAGGUUCGUAGGUGACCCUGCGGAGGAUCAUUA
rnacentral:rRNA from 1 species